rnacentral:misc_RNA from 1 species
GUGAAUCAUCGAAUCUUUGAACGCAUAUUGCACUCUCUGGCAUUCCGGAGAGUAUGCCUGCUUGAGGGUCAGUAUAAUCAAAAUCGGAGCGAUGCUUUUUGGGUGACGCACCGGAGUUUGGGUCAUCUUAACUCUUUUUUUUAAGAAACUAAAAAUAAACUUUUUUUUUUCUCAAUUUUUGAGCGGUAAUAAUUUUUUUUAUUUGGUUACCCUUGGUGGAAAAAAUUUAUUAGGACGUG